rnacentral:misc_RNA from 1 species
CUCUUCUUUUAGUUGUAGAAGUAUUGGCCUUUGCUCAUUGUUUCCAAAGUCCAUCCCUUCAAGCAACGGAUGCUGCUCGGUCACCACCUUUUGAGGUUUCAACUGAGCAUUGUUGUUGGCCGAGUUAUGGCUGCUGUUUCUAGCUGCAGGAACAUCAUGAUUAUGUUUUCCCUCAUAUGUAGUUAUGACAGCUUUGGGGUCUGCUGCAGCUCUCUCAACAUGCUUACGAAC